rnacentral:rRNA from 1 species
ACUAACGAGGAUUCCUUGGUAACGGCGAGUGAAGAGGGAAGAGCCCAGCACCGAAGUCUGCAGCAGUUUUGCUGUUAGGCAAUGUGGUGUGUGGGUCGGCUCGCGGGAUCAUCACUCCACUCGAAGUCCAGCAUUGAGUAUGGCUAUUACUGGAAUUGGCCCAUAGAGGGUGAGAGGCCCGUACGGGUGGAGGUUCAGACAUGUGGGAUGGUUCACCAGGCCGACCUCAGAGUCGGGUUGUUUGAGAUUGCAGCCCAAAGAGGGUGGUAAACUCCAUCCAAGGCUAAAUAUUGCCACGAGUCCGAUAGCGAACAAGUACCAUGAGGGAAAGUUGAAAAGUACUCUGAAGAGAGAGUAAACAGUACGUGAAGCCGUAUGCAGGUAAACGGGUGGCGUCAAGCUGCGAGCUCGGAGGAUUCAGCUGACUGGGAUGUAGUGUACGCGUGCCUGGUGCGUCGAGAGGUCGGAAUAAGAUGUGGCGGUCCACUCCUGAGUAGGGAGUGGGGUGCGAAAGGUGUGCGCUUGCGUGUAUGCCGAUCGUCGCUAUGCAUGCCGGGUGGGUGCCGGAGCAUGCCGCUCAUCUGUUGGGCCACCUAGUCAGUGCAUUUUCUCUGUGGUGAACACCACGACCGGUGGAACUGCCAGUCUGCUGUGAUCAAGUCGUAAUCUCCUGGCGCAUUACUGUGUUAGGUGGGUACGAUCGCAGAUGGAGUCGGUGGACGGCGCAGUGGUGCUUCGGUGCUGCCGCGUGUUAUCGUGCACUCUCUGUCGUAAGCGGUUAGUGGGGUUGUUGACUAGGUACUGUGACUGCUUCCCCGGUAGCUGGCGGAUCACAGUGGUGAAAGGGACUGUGCAGGGCACUGGAGUUGUCCACCUCAUUCAAUUAUGGUACUCGACACACACGUUACAGGUGUUAUGCAAUCGAGAUGUGCCGCUGUCUGCCUGGUGUUGAGCCUGACUGUGGUGUUGCCUGCGUAAAGUGGGUGCGGCAGUGGUUUCCAUGCUUGGUAAUGGCAGUGUGUUGCGUGUCUCGGGUGUCUGUAGUACCGGGGGUGAGAUAGUCAGUGGUGCUGUGAGA